rnacentral:rRNA from 1 species
CCUACGGGUGGCAGCAGUGAGGAAUAUUGGUCAAUGGCCGGAAGUCUGAACCAGCCAAGCCGCGUGAAGGACGAAGGUGCCACGCAUUGUAAACUUCUUUUGUCAAGGGACAAACUCAGGCUCGAGAGCCUGACCGAGGGUACUUUAAGAACAAGCAUCGGCUAACUCCGUGCCAGCAGCCGCGGUAAUACGGAGGAUGCGAGCGUUAUCCGGAUUUAUUGGGUUUAAAGGGUGCGUAGGCGGACUGUUAAGUCAGUUGUGAAAGUUUGCGGCUCAACCGUAAAAUUGCAAUUGAUACUGGCAGCCUUGAGUACAGUUGAGGUAGGCGGAAUUCGUGGUGUAGCGGUGAAAUGCUUAGAUAUCACGAAGAACUCCGAUUGCGAAGGCAGCUUACUAAACUGCCACUGACAUUGAUGCUCGAAAGUGUGGGUAUCAAACAGGAUUAGAUACCCCUGUAGUC